CUUCCCAGAAACAGUUUCUGGACAGGACACUGAUGCCAAGUGACAAAGGGACCUCCAAGCGGCUUCGGAAGAAAGGAAAGAGAAAGCCUGCUUUGUUGCCUCAGGAAUCCCAGCAGCAGAAAAGGCGAGCUUGUAGAAGAAGAAGAUCGAAGUUUUCACUGGAAGAUGCUAUUCCCCGAAGUGCUGGCACCUCAGCCUGGAGCACAACCCGCCAACUGGCCAGUAUAUUCGGCUUCACACCGGAUGAAAUUCAGAGUAGCUCGGGCCAGACCUUCUCAGAUGUGGAUUCCUCGGACGCUGCCAGCACCUCCCGCUCUGCCUCCACCAGCCUUUCCUACAGAUGGACGGUAGGCAGGAGAAAGCUGGCAGCCAAAGCGCCCAGGACCCUGCGGGCAAAGCUUUGGGCGGCCGAGCUGGAUAAGCACUUCGCCUCAGACAAUGCAGAAGGAGCUGCGGGCCCUGAGCAACAGGAUGAAGGCAUCGACAGCCACACACCUAAAAGCACGAGUGGAGAGGAAUCCUCCCAGUCCUACCUCAAGGCGUGUAUCACCAACUACUUUUGUGCAGCCGGGCGCUUGGCCUGCGGGGAAGAGUGUCAGGUGUUGGCGCGGAGGGUCACCCCAGAAGGCAAGGUUCAGUACCUAUUGGAAUGGGAGGGGACCACCCCUUGAUGAUUAGCCCUCAGAGGCUGCCCAGUUCCCUGAAAACCAAAGGAGGGGCAGAAGAGGCGUCUGGGUCUCUGUUUUCUCCAGUCUCGGGGUGGUGGAGAGAACCAACAUCCUGGCUGCGGUCCCUGCCUGUUUCCUGCCAGGGCUAGGCCUGUAUGCUGCUGUACCUGGGUCUCUAAGACCCCAACUGGCUCUCUACCAUUGUCUAGAGUACACUCCAUACCCCUCAAACAUUUUAUUGGUUCCUCUGACAGUACCCUAGCUGUGUCCCCUGAUCUGAGGCCUGAAUCUGUUUUUCAUUGUCCCCAAUUCUCCAUCUUUUGCACUCUGCCCUCUCACCCCUUCCAGGUGUUUUGUGUGGUCACACAUCUCCCGUGCAUGCGCAUACGCUCAUCUGUUCCCUCACUGGGCAUGCUUCACUGGGUCCUCACUGGGACUACAGGGAGGGAAGGGAACCCUGGGGGUCUUCUACUUUCUCACUAGUACCCCUCACCCCAGGAGGGUAGGGAUGCCUGAGAAAGUUUACGAUGCCUGGGACCCAGAGGCUGGGGAGUGAUGAGCUGGGUCUCUGCUGAAGGAACUGGAAUCAGGGUCCUUUAUUGAGGCUGGGAGGGGAGACUAAGGGAGUCAGGGCCAAGGCUCCCAGAAGUUUGCCUAUUCCCAGCAACAACCCUUCACUGUUGUCAGGGACUGGGGCCUGACCUUGCUGCGUAGACAUGUUCUUAAACACAUAGAUGGGGAGGAAGACCAGGCCAGAUUAAAUCCCAUCCCACACACUGUGCAUACAAACACCACCACAUAUUCCCAAAAGGGCCUCCUGGCCCCCAUCCUUGGCCUCUUCCAGGGAUAUAUGCUUCAGUUAAAUGUGAAAACCAAACUCCUGCCUCCUCUGGCCUGUGGACCAGCCUUGGCCCCACAGAGAAGCACAAAAGACCCCCCCCCCCAUCACCACCACCCCUUCUCCUGCAUGGCUCCUGCCUCGUCCUGGAGCUGACAAUCACUUUUGGGACAGGCUGGGGGUUUCCAAGGGCCCAAAUCAUUGGUUCCCUUCAGAAAGGAAGUCUUUGUCAUCGAUGGUACAAAUUGAAUUCUUAGAAUGGACAAACUCGGCCGUGUCUGGAGGGAUACCAAAACUAGGAGGUGGGCAGGGAGCCCUUAUUUUGCCUGCAAAAACAGAAACUGACUUGCUCAGCUCAGAAAAUGGAAAGAAGCACCUUUGGGGUGGGAGGCAGAGGCAUCGGACCUUUGGGGUGGGAGGCAGAGGCAUCGGACUGGGAGCGGCCUCCCUGCCUGCUGCUGUGGCUUCCGCUGGGAGUGGGAAGAUGGACUGCGUGAUGGCGGCAGACUAUAUCAGAGGCGCCGCUUUUUCCUAUGACUGGGUCCGACUCCUCCUCACCUGCCCAUGAACAUUAAGGGGGAUCCCUGAGGUAGGUUAGAUGGCCCCUGCCUUAAACCCGAGCCACCAUAGUGCCUUGCAAAGGAAGCUUUCCUCUCACUAGACACAGUACCCACUUCCCUCUGCUUCCCCGUCUGGGCUCAGGCAGGGAUACAAAGAUGGACACCAGGCCCAGUGGUCAGACCCACAGCUGCCGCCACUGAGGUCCCCAAGUGGGGCCUGGCAGAGGGAGAGUUGUAAAGUCAACUCCCAGGCCCUAUUGGCUUCAGUGAGCACGGCAACCUCCAACACAUGUGUUUUCCAGGCCACUGGGGAAGCCAGAGUUAGGAUGGCUAUUUAUACAUCUGCCCCUCCCCUGCUGUGCCCCAGAAGCUCUGGGCCUGAGGAGCAGGAAGGCAGGUGGGGUGUUCAUCCCAUUGGGGAUGCUAGCAUAAGGUCUGACCAGGUCCCCGGACUCCCCACGGCAGCAUUUCACCCCUACAAGAUAAUAGCUGCAUUACUGCCAACUGACGGUAUAACCCUGUGCACCUUUGAAAAAGAUUUUGGUUUUAAAUUGCUGCUUUUAAUAAUAGUUGUUAUAUUAAAGUUAUAAUUGAAGUGUCUGGUUUACAA